GUUUCUGCUGGAGUUACUAAUGCUCUUUUGUUUUUUGUUUUUGUUUUCCCUUUCCUUCCUUGAGCCGAGGGUCGAUUGGAAACAGCCUCUUUGUCCUUUCGUGUAGGGGUAAGGCAUGUCUACAUAUUACCCUACCUAGACCCCAUCUUGUGGGACUAUACCGGGUAAUUGUUGUUGUUUAGAUCUAAUAUCAAGAACGUGGAAGUUUGAUGCUAGAUUAGUUCUCUUCCAAUUGUCGGAGUGAGUGGUUUCACAAUAGUUGAGCUAAACCGAAGUUGGAGUCACAUUUUAAAGACAAACCUUGCAUCAUCACCUCAAAUUAAAGAUAGAAUAUCAAAAUCUACGUACAGUAUGUGCAGUAAAAUACAUACUGCUGAUUAGAAAGUCAAAACUCUUCCACUAUUUUUAGAGGCUUUGCACUUUCCUCUCCAAAAGGAAGGAAGCAAGAAAUAGUAUAGCAGGAGAAUGGAGAGUUCCAACUAUCGUACCAUAGUUGGGUGUGAAGUUUAUAUGGAAAGAAACUUUUAGUUUUGAAGUCUUAGUCCUUUUUGGCGAAGGUGGAAGACGACCGGGCAGGAGGGACAAUAUUGGAAAAUUGAGGGGAAAAUGCACAUGAUGGACAUGCUCUUUUGAUG
rnacentral:lncRNA from 1 species